rnacentral:rRNA from 1 species
UACGUAGGGGGCAAGCGUUGUCCGGAAUCAUUGGGCGUAAAGAGCGUGUAGGCGGCCAGAAAAGUCCGCUGUGAAAACUCGAGGCUCAACUUCGAGCUGUCGGUGGAAACUUUCUGGCUAGAGUCCGGAAGAGGAGAAUGGAAUUCCUGGUGUAGCGGUGAAAUGCGCAGAUAUCAGGAAGAACACCCGUGGCGAAGGCGGGUCUCUGGGCCGAUACUGACGCUGGAGGAGCGAAAGCGUGGGGAGCGAACAGG